rnacentral:lncRNA from 1 species
ACAAUGAUAAUAACAAUGUCAAUAACAAUACGAGUAACCGGCUAGUCCGGACAACCAAAUACCUAGCCGAACAUAUCACGUGCCCCCACCGUCUCAGCCUCAAAAGGUUCAAUCAACUACAACACACUACAAGGCAUAAUCAUCACCUAUACCUAUGCAAGGGCUGAUAGAUAUAGGCGCAUACUGGUGAUAGGGAAUGCACAUGCAAGGUUGAAUACAACUGAAUCUACAAUACCAUA